rnacentral:rRNA from 1 species
AAAAGGUUUCCGUAGGUGAACCUGCGGAAGGAUCAUUG